rnacentral:lncRNA from 1 species
AAAUAUUCUUUGGAAAUUUUAAUUGAGGAAUCAAAUGAAAAAUAAUAUUUUUCAUUUAUUUAUUAAAAACAAGUAUCAUAAAAAUGUAUUAUUUUUCUACAUAAUCUCCAUUUUAGUAAAUAUAAAUCAUCCAGCACUUAACUGGUACUUAAGUGCUGGAUGAUUAAGCAGCCACUGAUGCACAAUCUUUUCAUUGUUUCAUCUGAUCAGGACUUUUACCCAUUGCUUCUUUGAGUAAUAAAAAAUCUGGUAAUGACUUGAAGCAUGUGUGGUAAGUAUGUAGAUGAGAUACUCAAAAUGCAAUUCCUCAGUGAUUGAAACUGUUAUGCAUGAACUAUAAGACUAUGCAUUAUCAUAUUCAAGAUAUCAAUAUCCAGGAAUCCUUAUUGUUUUAACUUGUUAUAUUUCCAUAAAAUUAUUGCAGAUUUCUGAGGAAAUCUGAAUAUGUGCCAAUGGUAAUGGUGCUCCUUGGAUUUGUAGUGCUCCAAGAUUGGCUCUCAUAUGUCCCAAAAGAAAGUCAAUAUUAUUUUCCUUGCAGAAUUUUUCUGAUUUUGGAAAGGAUGAAUGACAACAUCCUUUGCUCACUUAUUUUCCAGUCUCCUGUAAUGGAUCUAGUUUCAUCUCCAAUCACAAGUUUUGCAGGAAACCAACACUUUCUGCUUGCAUUUUUCAGAGGAUGCUAUCUUAAGACUACUAUUAUGACAUUAUGUAGCUCAUGAUCAGUGCUGCUGCCUGUAGAAUGUUCUUUAAGCCAUUGCUGAUGAUACAUUCAAAGAACAACUGUGUACAAUCUUUACUCAAGUUUUAUCUCACUUUUUAAGGUUUUCAAAUAAAUUUCCUUUGUAUUUAUAAGAUACAUAAACUCUCAAUUAACCAGAAUA